UUCUGUGCUACACUUUUACAGGCUCCAGUCCUGGAAUAAUCCUUCAUCUUUACCUACCUGCUUCCUGAGGCAUCAAGUCCAAUGUCAUCGGCAGACCUGUAGGAUCUUAUUGCAGCAUAUUUCUGCUUACCAUCCGAUUCACCUCAUUAUUCACCAAGUUUAAUAUCACUGUGACAGUGUGCCAUUUACCAGGGCUAAAUUGAAUACAUAUGGAUUUUUAACUGUAUGAAGUUGUGUCUGAGAGCUCCAGCACGGACCAGAUGCCCACUGCACAAGAUGUUAUACAACACAGAAGAAAAAAUGGUCCUUGCUAUUAACUGUUUUUCUCUUCCUGCCACUCAAAAUGAUGAAACUAUUCUUGAAGAAAAGUGUUGGGUCACCAUAUUGUAUCAUAAAUACAAUGUAGUCGGGAUAUGACUGCAACUGCUUUCCCUGCCCUGCUGUGGGUCUACUGCACCUGAAGGUGCCCUUGCAGCUGGCAGCCCAGAGGACCGCCACCCUCUCGUCUUCAUUGCACAGUGAAUGAGCCGUGGUGGCGUGAAGGCAGCUGGAGCACACUCCUGGCUUCCUACCAAGCUGCUGUGGAGCCAGGCAGCCCAACCAGGCCCAUGCCCUAGAUAACUGGAAAGAGAUGGGGAACAUUGUACAAAGGCAGCAUGUACAAAGACAGCUGCUUUUUGCUCCUGCUUCUCUGUUGGUGUCCUCGCACUGGAUCUCCAUGCCCCUCCAGUUGUGAGUGUGCCAGGGGGAGAGUCAAGCAAAGGGCCUGUCAGCAGAGGAGGACUUUGCCUGUUAUCCCUGUGUCAUGGCUCCGGCAGAGCUGUAUCGUUACAGUACCAUCUGGGGAUACUCUAGUUCUGUGAUAAGAGUUGGUUUCUUUUGGCUUACUUUAAAUGUCACUAAAAAGUGACAAAGGGCUCAGUGUUGGUUGGAACACAGCCAGGGGCUCGUGUGAGUCUAGCUACCACCAUGGGACUCCAAUCAUGUCUCGUUGCCUUCAGAAUUUUGUGUCUGAUUUCACUUUUUACUGUUGGUCGAUGGCAGCUUUCAGCACGGGGCCCUGAGCUUGCCCACUAGUUCACAAAGCAUAAAAUGACAUGGCCUACCCUGGGAAAAAAAAAAAAAAAAUCCUUGCACAAUAAAGUGAAAUACUACAGUAAAUGAUCAUAUUACAUAAUAGUAUUUGUCUUUCUUCUUUAACUCAUGUUGUGGCACUCUCCCCGGCAGCAAGCCCUCCCUUUAGCUCGUCAUUGCCCUACUUCUGCACAUCCAGUCUGCUAGUGGUGUCCUCAGACCAGGAGUGACCACCAUUUUGUGCUCCUCAGGGAUUCGUGUCGGCUGGCUGCUGGUUUGCUGGUUGCUUUCACCUUGUCCUGCUCUCUGCUUCCACUUGCCUUAUCACCAUGGCUUCUCUCCUACAGCUGCUUAUUUUGAAGAUUUAACUGGAAAUUAUGAGACACAUUAAUUUCACAUCAACACUCUGUGCAGGGAUGAAUUUUGUUCAGGUCAGGCAAUGAAUUCAAGUGAAGUUCAUGGGAAUUGGAACCAAGUUAUCUUUUAUGAUUGUUCACUAAAUAUGUAUAAUCUUGAGAAACACUCCCUAAGCUGGAGGGAUUCACUUCCUAAUGAAAGAUGUGGUCACUUUGUGCCUGGGGAUGAGAAACAGCCAUAAUGUUUUCACUGCAGGCUGCUGUCAGCGUGACAGGGUGAAGAGCCAGAGUCCCCAGCAUGGUAGCACUGCCACUACCAUAUGUGUGCACACAGGGUUCGGAUUUGCUGUCCCAGACAAAUGGGAUUUUGUUCAGAAUAGCUGUAUGCACACCGGGGUAGGGCAUUCUGAGGGUACUGUG